rnacentral:rRNA from 1 species
CAAUAGCGUAUAUUAAAGUUGUUGCAGUUAAAAAGCUCGUAGUUGGAUUUGUGGCGUACGGUGUGUUCCGGGCACUUGUUGUCUGAGUAACCUGCUGUUGCCAUCCUUGGGUGGAACCUGUGUGGCAUUAGGUUGUCGUGCAGGGGAUGCCCAUCAUUUACUGUGAAAAAAUUAGAGUGUUCAAAGCAGGCUUAUGCCGUUGAAUAUAUUAGCAUGGAAUAAUGAGAUAGGACUUGUUUGCUAUUUUGUUGGUUUGCGCAAAGAGGUAAUGAUUAAUAGGGACAGUUGGGGGUAUUCGUAUUCCAUUGUCAGAGGUGAAAUUCUUGGAUUUUUGGAAGACGAACUACUGCGAAAGCAUUUACCAAGGAUGUUUUCAUUAA